rnacentral:rRNA from 1 species
AGUGAACGCUGGCGGUAGGCCUAACACAUGCAAGUCGAACGGCAGCACAGUAAGAGCUUGCUCUUACGGGUGGCGAGUGGCGGACGGGUGAGGAAUACAUCGGAAUCUACUUUUUCGUGGGGGAUAACGUAGGGAAACUUACGCUAAUACCGCAUACGACCUACGGGUGAAAGCAGGGGAUCUUCGGACCUUGCGCGAUUGAAUGAUCCGAUGUCGGAUUAGCUAGUUGGCGGGGUAAAGGCCCACCAAGGCGACGAUCCGUAGCUGGUCUGAGAGGAUGAUCAGCCACACUGGAGCUGAGACACGGUCCAGACUCCUACGGGAGGCAGCAGUGGGGAAUAUUGGACAAUGGGCGCAAGCCUGAUCCAGCCAUACCGCGUGGGGGAAGAAGGCCUUCGGGUUGUAAAGCCCUUUUGUUGGGAAAGAAAAGCAGCAGGUUAAUACCCCGCUGUUCUGACGGUACCCAAGGAAUAAGCACCGGCUAACUUCGUG